rnacentral:rRNA from 2 species
GAGUUUGAUCAUGGCUCAGGAUGAACGCCGGCGGUGUGCCUAAUACAUGCAAGUCGAACGCGUUGGCCCAAUUGAUUGAUGGUGCUUGCACCUGAUUGAUUUUGGUCGCCAACGAGUGGCGGACGGGUGAGUAACACGUAGGUAACCUGCCCAGAAGCGGGGGACAACAUUUGGAAACAGAUGCUAAUACCGCAUAACAGCGUUGUUCGCAUGAACAACGCUUAAAAGAUGGCUUCUCGCUAUCACUUCUGGAUGGACCUGCGGUGCAUUAGCUUGUUGGUGGGGUAACGGCCUACCAAGGCGAUGAUGCAUAGCCGAGUUGAGAGACUGAUCGGCCACAAUGGGACUGAGACACGGCCCAUACUCCUACGGGAGGCAGCAGUAGGGAAUCUUCCACAAUGGGCGCAAGCCUGAUGGAGCAACACCGCGUGAGUGAAGAAGGGUUUCGGCUCGUAAAGCUCUGUUGUUAAAGAAGAACACGUAUGAGAGUAACUGUUCAUACGUUGACGGUAUUUAACCAGAAAGUCACGGCUAACUACGUGCCAGCAGCCGCGGUAAUACGUAGGUGGCAAGCGUUAUCCGGAUUUAUUGGGCGUAAAGAGAGUGCAGGCGGUUUUCUAAGUCUGAUGUGAAAGCCUUCGGCUUAACCGGAGAAGUGCAUCGGAAACUGGAUAACUUGAGUGCAGAAGAGGGUAGUGGAACUCCAUGUGUAGCGGUGGAAUGCGUAGAUAUAUGGAAGAACACCAGUGGCGAAGGCGGCUACCUGGUCUGCAACUGACGCUGAGACUCGAAAGCAUGGGUAGCGAACAGGAUUAGAUACCCUGGUAGUCCAUGCCGUAAACGAUGAGUGCUAGGUGUUGGAGGGUUUCCGCCCUUCAGUGCCGGAGCUAACGCAUUAAGCACUCCGCCUGGGGAGUACGACCGCAAGGUUGAAACUCAAAGGAAUUGACGGGGGCCCGCACAAGCGGUGGAGCAUGUGGUUUAAUUCGAAGCUACGCGAAGAACCUUACCAGGUCUUGACAUCUUGCGCCAACCCUAGAGAUAGGGCGUUUCCUUCGGGAACGCAAUGACAGGUGGUGCAUGGUCGUCGUCAGCUCGUGUCGUGAGAUGUUGGGUUAAGUCCCGCAACGAGCGCAACCCUUGUUACUAGUUGCCAGCAUUAAGUUGGGCACUCUAGUGAGACUGCCAGUGACAAACCGGAGGAAGGUGGGGACGACGUCAGAUCAUCAUGCCCCUUAUGACCUGGGCUACACACGUGCUACAAUGGACAGUACAACGAGUCGCGAACUCGCGAGGGCAAGCAAAUCUCUUAAAACCGUUCCCAGUUCGGACUGCAGGCUGCAACUCGCCUGCACGAAGUCGGAAUCGCUAGUAAUCGCGGAUCAGCAUGCCGCGGUGAAUACGUUCCCGGGCCUUGUACACACCGCCCGUCACACCAUGAGAGUUUGUAACACCCAAAGUCGGUGGGGUAACCUUUUAGGAGCCAGCCGCCUAAGGUGGGACAGAUGAUUAGGGUGAAGUCGUAACAAGGUAACC